CAGGGUUAUUGCUGGCUACUAUUGGCCUACAAUUAUCCAGGAUGUGAAAGAAUGGGUCAGAUCUUGUCACCGCUGCCAGUUGAAUGACCCCAUCAAGACUGUUGUGCCAGUCUUGCAUUCCAUUAAGGUAAAAGAAUCUUGGGAAGUGCUUGGUUUGGAUUUGAUUGGACCACUGCCAGAAACAGCACGCAACAACAAGUAUGUCCUUACAUGACAGACCUGUACACCAAGUGGGUUAUUGCAGAACCAAUGCAAUCUAAGAAAGCAGCUGAGGUGUCUGCAAUAAUAACCACAAAGUUGUACUUGUUCGGCAUGGAUAGGAAAAUCAUUACAGACCAAGGGAAGGAGUUUGUCAACAAGCUCAACAACAGCAUUUUCAGUACGCUGAAAAUCAAACAUGCUGUCUCCAGUGCUUACCAUCCCCAGACCAACGGACAGGAUGAAAGGACCAAUCAGAAUAUCAAGCGUGCUCUCAGGAAGUAUGUGA